UAGCGGCGAGCGAACGGGAAAGAGCCCAAACCGGCGCGGUCAUCAGGCCGGUGCCGGGGUUAUAGGACCGACGCCAAAUAUCAGGGAAAAGCGAGCAGAACCGGCUGGAAUGCCGGGCCAUAGCGGGUGAGAGCCCCUUAAGCGAAGCGGAGACCUGAUAGAGUCGGCACCUGAGUAGGCCGGAGCACGAGGAAUUCCGGUUGAAAUAUCGGGGACCAUCCCGAAAGGCUAAAUACUCCCGAGAGACCGAUAGCGAACCAGUACCGUGAGGGAAAGGUGAAAAGCACCUCGAACAGAGGAGUGAAAAAGACCCUGAAACCAUGCGCCUGCAAGCGGUCGGAGCCACUUAGUGUGGUGACGGCGUGCCUUUUGCAUAAUGAACCUGCGAGUUGCCGUCGUCGGCGAGGCUAAGUGCCUAAGGCACGGAGCCGGAGCGAAAGCGAGUCCGAAAAGGGCGUUUAGUCGGCGGGGGCAGACGCGAAACCGAGUGAUCUACGCAUGGACAGGAUGAAGGACAGGUAACACUGUCUGGAGGUCCGAACCGGUAAGCGUUGAAAAGCUUUCGGAUGAUCUGUGCGUAGGAGUGAAAGGCCAAUCAAACUCGGAGAUAGCUCGUACUCCCCGAAAUGCAUUUAGGUGCAGCCUCGGGAGAUUACCGCGGAGGUAGAGCGACCGAUAGGAUGCGAGGGCUUCGCCGCCUAUCAAGUCCUGACGAACUCCGAAUGCCGCGGCAAGCUUCCCGGGAGUGAGGGCGCGGGUGCUAAGGUCCGCGUCCGAGAGAGGAACAACUCAGACCACCGUCUAAGGCCCCGAAAUCCGGGCUAAGUUGAAGACAAUAACGAGGUGGGGCCGCAGAGACAGCUAGGAUGUUGGCUUGGAAGCAGCCAUUCAUUUAAAGAGUGCGUAACAGCUCACUAGUCGAGCGGCCCCGCGUGGAUAAUAAUCGGGCAUAAGUCCGGUGCCGAAGACGUGGAAUCAUAAGAUUGGUAGGGGAGCAUUCCUGCGUCGGCGAAGCAGAGCCGCGAGACUCUGUGGAGAUGGAGGAAAAGCAAAUGCAGGUAUAAGUAACGACAAAGGGGGCGGGAAACCCCCUCGCCGAAAGACCAAGGGUUCCUGAUCAACGCUAAUCGGAUCAGGGUAAGUCGGGACCUAACGCCCCCCCGGAAGGGCCGGGUGGAUGGACAUGCGGUCAAUAUUCCGCAACCCUUGUUCAGUGAGCCGGAGCGGAGACGGAGAAGCGAAACACCCGCGCACCGACGGAAAGGUGCGUUGAAGGGAGGUAGGCAAUACGCCGUGGCGGAAACGCGGCGGCCGAGCCCCGACAGUACGCAAGGCCCCCGGGCCGAGCGACAGCGGUGGAGGAGCAGGCUCCCGAGAAAAUCCGCGCCCGGCGUCCGAACUGAACGAGGCCCGUACCGGAAACCGACACAGGUGGUCGGGUAGAAAAUACCGAGGCGCUCGAGAGAUUCACGGUCAAGGAACUAGGCAAACUGACCCCGUAACUUCGGGAGAAGGGGUCCUCCCCCCUCAACAAGGGGAGGCGCAGAGAAUAGGUCCAGGCAACUGUUUAGCAAAAACACAGGGCUGUGCGAAGCCGCAAGGCGCAGUAUACAGUCUGACACCUGCCCGGUGCCGGAAGGUUAAGCGGAGCUGUCAUCGCAAGAGAAGCAGUAAAGUGAAGCCCCGGUAAACGGCGGCCGUAACUAUAACGGUCCUAAGGUAGCGAAAUUCCUUGUCGGGUAAGUUCCGACCU
rnacentral:rRNA from 1 species